rnacentral:rRNA from 1 species
CCUACGGGUGGCAGCAGUGGGGAAUAUUGGGCAAUGGGCGCAAGCCUGACCCAGCAACGCCGCGUGAAGGAAGAAGGCUUUCGGGUUGUAAACUUCUUUUAAGAGGGAAGAGCAGAAGACGGUACCUCUUGAAUAAGCCACGGCUAACUACGUGACAGCAGCCGCGGUAAGAAGUAGGUGGGAAGCGGUUUUCGGAUUUACUGGGGGUAAAGGGCGUUCAGCCGGGAAGUCAAGGCAGAUGUGAAAUCCUGGGGCUCAACCGCGGGACUGCAUUUGAAACUGUUUUUCUUGAGUGCCGGAGAGGUCAUCGGAAUUCCGUGUGUAGCGGUGAAAUGCAUAGAUAUAACGAAGAACACCGAUUGCGAAGGCAGAAUACCGGCGCUCAACUGACGCUGAGGCACGAAAGUGCGGGUAGCGAACAGGAUUAGAUACCCUAGUAGUC